rnacentral:snRNA from 1 species
ACCAUCUUUUCCUUGGAGUUGCGCUACUGACCAAUGAGCACAUAGUGUAGCGAAUGAGGACAGUACUGCUAACACUUUUUUUUGAGACA